UAGUUCGUGAGGAUGCGUGCGGAGGGUCUGAAGGCAAAACCCGGAACAGGCGGCAUACCAAGUUGGCUGACGAAGUCGGAUUACCCUGCAAGAGAAGGGGAUGUCCCAUACCACCAAUGGCUUCGGAAGUUAGGAGGAACUGGAUUCGGGGGAAAGUCGGUUGU
rnacentral:ncRNA from 1 species